rnacentral:rRNA from 1 species
AUUGAACGCUGGCGGCAUGCCUUACACACGCAAGUCGAACGGUAACAGGUCUUCGGAUGCUGACGAGUGGCGAACGGGUGAGUAAUGCAUCGGAACGUGCCCAGUAGUGGGGGAUAGCCCGGCGAAAGCCGGAUUAAUACCGCAUACGACCUGAGGGUGAAAGGGGGGGAUCGCAAGACCUCUCGCUAUUGGAGCGGCCGAUGUCAGAUUAGCUAGUUGGUGGGGUAAAGGCCUACCAAGGCAACGAUCUGUAGUUGGUCUGAGAGGACGACCAGCCACACUGGGACUGAGACACGGCCCAGACUCCUACGGGAGGCAGCAGUGGGGAAUUUUGGACAAUGGGCGCAAGCCUGAUCCAGCAAUGCCGCGUGCAGGAAGAAGGCCUUCGGGUUGUAAACUGCUUUUGUCAGGGAAGAAAUCUUCUGGGUUAAUACCUCGGGAGGAUGACGGUACCUGAAGAAUAAGCACCGGCUAACUACGUGCCAGCAGCCGCGGUAAAAC